CCUCUGCCACAAUGAAACUGCUGGUUUGUCUUUCCUGCAUUCUGAGCAUAGCAGCUGCUGUCCCAGUCCGUCGGUCAGCAAGUGGCAGUGCCAGCAAUGAGCGCAUUCCCAUCAUGGUUCCCCAAGUGCCUCCUCAGGUUCCUCCUCAGAUGCUUCCUCGGUUUCUUCCUCCACUUCCAGGACAACCAUUACCACCUCAAAUUCCAGCACAGCCAUA